GGGUCAGUAGGUUGGUCGUGCCACCGGUACGUACUGGUCUCACUGAUUCCUCCUUCCUGAAGAACCGUAAUGCCAUUCAUUUGGUUUUGCGGGGAAACAGGACUGUUACUUUGAAAAAAUUAGAGUGUUUAAAGCAAGCUAACGCUUGAAUACAUUAGCAUGGAAUAAUGAAAUAGGACGAUCGAUCCUAUUUUGCUGGUUUCUAGGAUUGACGUA
rnacentral:rRNA from 1 species